UACGUAGGGUGCGAGCGUUGUCCGGAAUUAUUGGGCGUAAAGAGCUUGUAGGCGGUUUGUCGCGUCUGCCGUGAAAAUCCGGGGCUCAACCCCGGACUUGCGGUGGGUACGGGCAGACUAGAGUGUGGUAGGGGAGACUGGAAUUCCUGGUGUAGCGGUGAAAUGCGCAGAUAUCAGGAGGAACACCGGUGGCGAAGGCGGCAUCCUGGACCGACACUGACGCUGAGGAGCGAAAGCCAGGGGAGCAAACGGG
rnacentral:rRNA from 1 species